rnacentral:lncRNA from 1 species
UGUGGUUCUGUGCUGUUCUCUGGGCUCUGCCACCAAAUACAGCAGCUGAGUGACCUAUCACUGAGAAAGACACAGUUCAUAAGACUAAGAGAGAAAGGUGAGGGUAAAGGGCCUUCUGUCGCUCCUGAGGGGGAAUCAGAGGAGAGAAUGAGGAAAACAGAUGGCUGUGAAUAAACAACCAGAGAAGAGCCUUGAGGUUGCUAGAUUCGGGUCAAGGUGUACGACUUCCCAUGGAAGUGCCUGGAGCCUGCAGACAGGGUCUCUCCACCCCAGCUGCUGGUCCAACCUGCCUCGCAGGGCGUGACAUGGCUGUUGUCCUCACUGCCUUGUACUCUGCCUCACCAGUCCCA